GAGUCGAUGAUGAGAACCUUAUAUUGUUCUGAAGAGAGGUGAUGACCUAAAAAUCAUUCUUAAAAGGAUUAUGCUGAGGCCC
rnacentral:snoRNA from 1 species